GACGAACGCUGGCGGCGUGCUUAACACAUGCAAGUCGAACGGAAAGGCCCUGCUUUUGUGGGGUGCUCGAGUGGCGAACGGGUGAGUAACACGUGAGUAACCUGCCCUUGACUUUGGGAUAACUUCAGGAAACUGGGGCUAAUACCGGAUAGGAGCUCCUGCUGCAUGGUGGGGGUUGGAAAGUUUCGGCGGUUGGGGAUGGACUCGCGGCUUAUCAGCUUGUUGGUGGGGUAGUGGCCUACCAAGGCUUUGACGGGUAGCCGGCCUGAGAGGGUGACCGGCCACAUUGGGACUGAGAUACGGCCCAGACUCCUACGGGAGGCAGCAGUGGGGAAUAUUGCACAAUGGGCGGAAGCCUGAUGCAGCAACGCCGCGUGCGGGAUGACGGCCUUCGGGUUGUAAACCGCUUUCGCCUGUGACGAAGCGUGAGUGACGGUAAUGGGUAAAGAGGCACCGGCUAACUACGUG
rnacentral:rRNA from 1 species